CAGACAGCCAGGAUGUUGGCUUAGAAGCAGCCAUCAUUUAAAGAAAGCGUAAUAGCUCACUGGUCGAGUCGGCCUGCGCGGAAGAUGUAACGGGGCUAAACCAUGCACCGAAGCUUGCGCAGCGACACUAUGUGUUGUUUGGGUAGGGGAGCGUUCUGUAAGCCGUUGAAGGUGGCCUGUGUAGGGUGUGCUGAGGUAUCAGAAGUGAGCGAAGCUGACAUAAGUAACGAUAAUGCGGGUGAAAAACCCGCACGCCGGAAGACCAAGGGUUCCUGUCCAACGUUAAUCGGGGCAGGGUGAGUCGACCCCUAAGGCGAGGCCGAAAGGCGUAGUCGAUGGGAAACAGGUUAAUAUUCCUGUACUUGGUGUUACUGCGAGGGGGGGACGGAGAAGGCUAUGUUAGCCGGGCGACGGUUGUCCCGGUUUAAGCAUGUAGGCGGAGAUUCCAGGUAAUUCCGGAGUCUUGUUAACGCUGAGGUGUGAUGACGAGGCACUACGGUGCUGAAGUAACAAAUGCCCUGCUUCCAGGAAAAGCCUCUAAGCAUCAGGUAACACAAAAUCGUACCCCAAACCGACACAGGUGGUCAGGUAGAGAAUACCAAGGCGCUUGAGAGAACUCGGGUGAAGGAACUAGGCAAAAUGGUGCCGUAACUUCGGAGAAGGCACGCUGAUAUGUAGGUGAAGUGAUUUACUCAUGGAGCUGAAAUCAGUCGAAGAUACCAGCUGGCUGCAACUGUUUAUUAAAAACACAGCACUGUGCAAACACGAAAGUGGACGUAUACGGUGUGACGCCUGCCCGGUGCCGGAAGGUUAAUUGAUGGGGUUAUCCGUAAGGAGAAGCUCUUGAUCGAAGCCCCGGUAAACGGCGGCCGUAACUAUAACGGUCCUAAGGUAGCGAAAUUCCUUGUCGGGUAAGUUCCGACCUGCACGAAUGGCGUAAUGAUGGCCAGGCUGUCUCCACCCGAGACUCAGUGAAAUUGAACUCGCUGUGAAGAUGCAGUGUACCCGCGGCAAGACGGAAAGACCCCGUGAACCUUUACUAUAGCUUGACACUGAACACUGGUCCUUGAUGUGUAGGAUAGGUGGGAGGCUUUGAAGUGUGGACGCCAGUCUGCAUGGAGCCAACCUUGAAAUACCACCCUUUAAUGGCUGGUGUUCUAACGUAGACCCGUAAUCCGGGUUGCGGACAGUGUCUGGUGGGUAGUUUGACUGGGGCGGUCUCCUCCUAAAGAGUAACGGAGGAGCACGAAGGUUAGCUAAUCCUGGUCGGACAUCAGGAGGUUAGUGCAAAGGCAUAAGCUAGCUUGACUGCGAGAGUGACGGCUCGAGCAGGUGCGAAAGCAGGUCUUAGUGAUCCGGUGGUUCUGAAUGGAAGGGCCAUCGCUCAACGGAUAAAAGGUACUCCGGGGAUAACAGGCUGAUACCGCCCAAGAGUUCAUAUCGACGGCGGUGUUUGGCACCUCGAUGUCGGCUCAUCACAUCCUGGGGCUGAAGUAGGUCCCAAGGGUAUGGCUGUUCGCCAUUUAAAGUGGUACGCGAGCUGGGUUUAGAACGUCGUGAGACAGUUCGGUCCCUAUCUGCCGUGGGCGCUGGAGAAUUGAGGGGGGCUGCUCCUAGUACGAGAGGACCGGAGUGGACGCAUCACUGGUGUUCGGGUUGUCAUGCCAAUGGCAUUGCCCGGUAGCUAAAUGCGGAAGAGAUAAGUGCUGAAAGCAUCUAAGCACGAAACUUGCCCCGAGAUGAGUUCUCCCUGACCCUUUAAGGGUCCUGAAGGAACGUUGAAGACGACGACGUUGAUAGGUCGGGUGUGUAAGCGUAGCGAUACGUUGAGCUAACCGAUACUAAUGAACCGUGAGGCUUAACCUU
rnacentral:rRNA from 1 species